GAUUGGUGCUUGCAUCAUGAUUUACAUUUGAGUGAGUGGCGAACUGGUGAGUAACACGUGGGAAACCUGCCCAGAAGCGGGGGAUAACACCUGGAAACAGAUGCUAAUACCGCAUAACAACUUGGACCGCAUGGUCCGAGUUUGAAAGAUGGCUUCGGCUAUCACUUUUGGAUGGUCCCGCGGCGUAUUAGCUAGAUGGUGGGGUAACGGCUCACCAUGGCAAUGAUACGUAGCCGACCUGAGAGGGUAAUCGGCCACAUUGGGACUGAGACACGGCCCAAACUCCUACGGGAGGCAGCAGUAGGGAAUCUUCCACAAUGGACGAAAGUCUGAUGGAGCAACGCCGCGUGAGUGAAGAAGGGUUUCGGCUCGUAAAACUCUGUUGUUAAAGAAGAACAUAUCUGAGAGUAACUGUUCAGGUAUUGACGGUAUUUAACCAGAAAGCCACGGCUAACUACGUGCCAGCAGCCGCGGUAAUACGUAGGUGGCAAGCGUUGUCCGGAUUUAUUGGGCGUAAAGCGAGCGCAGGCGGUUUUUUAAGUCUGAUGUGAAAGCCUUCGGCUCAACCGAAGAAGUGCAUCGGAAACUGGGAAACUUGAGUGCAGAAGAGGACAGUGGAACUCCAUGUGUAGCGGUGAAAUGCGUAGAUAUAUGGAAGAACACCAGUGGCGAAGGCGGCUGUCUGGUCUGUAACUGACGCUGAGGCUCGAAAGUAUGGGUAGCAAACAGGAUUAGAUACCCUGGUAGUCCAUACCGUAAACGAUGAAUGCUAAGUGUUGGAGGGUUUCCGCCCUUCAGUGCUGCAGCUAACGCAUUAAGCAUUCCGCCUGGGGAGUACGGCCGCAAGGCUGAAACUCAAAGGAAUUGACGGGGGCCCGCACAAGCGGUGGAGCAUGUGGUUUAAUUCGAAGCUACGCGAAGAACCUUACCAGGUCUUGACAUACUAUGCAAAUCUAAGAGAUUAGACGUUCCCUUCGGGGACAUGGAUACAGGUGGUGCAUGGUUGUCGUCAGCUCGUGUCGUGAGAUGUUGGGUUAAGUCCCGCAACGAGCGCAACCCUUAUUAUCAGUUGCCAGCAUUAAGUUGGGCACUCUGGUGAGACUGCCGGUGACAAACCGGAGGAAGGUGGGGAUGACGUCAAAUCAUCAUGCCCCUUAUGACCUGGGCUACACACGUGCUACAAUGGAUGGUACAACGAGUUGCGAACUCGCGAGAGUAAGCUAAUCUCUUAAAGCCAUUCUCAGUUCGGAUUGUAGGCUGCAACUCGCCUACAUGAAGUCGGAAUCGCUAGUAAUCGCGGAUCAGCAUGCCGCGGUGAAUACGUUCCCGGGCCUUGUACACACCGCCCGUCACACCAUGAGAGUUUGUAACAC
rnacentral:rRNA from 2 species